CAGACCAUCCAUUCUCUCCUUUGCUGGCCUUGAUGAAAUAAUCUACCAUAGAGACCUCUGUGGCAAAGAACUAGGAGCCGACUCCAGCUAAGAGCAGCAGGGAAGUAAGGCCUGUAUUCUGAUAACCCACAAGGAACUGAAUCCUGCUGACAACCAUGUCCAACUCAGAGGCUUCACCCCACAAUGAACCACAUUUCUUCAGCACUCUCAUAGCAUUGGCUUCAUCACAAUCUGCCUCAUCUCAGAAUAACAGAGACAGUAGAGGCCAGAUGACUGGAGUGAGCAAAUGACAAAAGAAACUUCACCUAUGGCCAGCCGAAGUCAGAAGACCCGGGCCAUCUGGUCUGCUCUUGUUUUGGGGUUGCCACGGAAGCCCUCUUGCAGAAUUGCUCUGUGAGUGGCAAGAAGUGUCACUAAAAAAUAGAAAAUAAAGGCUGCAGAUUGUCAUGUUUGUAAAAAGCAAUCAUGUUAGCACAAGUCUUUGCCUGUUCUGUCGCCUCCCC
rnacentral:lncRNA from 1 species